UUGAGCUCAGAUCAGGUAGGACUACCGCCUGAACUUAAGCAUAUCAAUAAGGCGAGGAACAGAAACCAACAGGGAUUCCCCUAGUAGUGGCGAAUGAACCGGGAAAAGCUCAAGUUUGAAAUCUGGUAUCAACCAGAGUUGUAAGCUGAAGAGGCAUCGACCGAUGAUGGUCCAGGCUCAAUGAUCCUUGGAAUAGGCAUGUCAUAGAGGGUGAAAAUCCCGUCUGUGGCUUGAGUGCCGUCGUCUUUGUGUCGUGUCCUCGAAGAGUCGGGUUGUUUGGGAAUGCAGCUCAAAAUGGGUGGUAAAUUUCAUCUAAGGCUAAAUAUUGGCGAGAGACCGAUAGCAAACAAGUAGAGUGAUCGAAAGAUGAUAAGUAUCUUGAAAAGGAAGUGAAACAGUACGUGAAAUUGUUGAAAGGGAAGCGUUUGGCAUCAGCCCAUGACGUCCAUCAAUCAUGGGACUUCUGUCCCGUGAAAUUGUUGGGCGUUGGGCCAGCGUCGACUUUGCCUGUCGGAGAAAGGUUUUGGGAAUGUGACACCCCUCGGGGUGUGUUAUAACCCUUGACGUCAUACGGUGGGUGUGGCCGAGGUCUGCGGUUAUCC
rnacentral:rRNA from 1 species